AGCCUCGUAGUGUAGUGGUCAAACAUACUGGAUUCUGGAUCCGGUGCCCGGGGUUCGAAUCCCUGCGAGGCUA
rnacentral:tRNA from 1 species